rnacentral:lncRNA from 1 species
UACAUAGUUUUUUUGGUUUGGUUUUUUUUUUAGUUUGUUCACCUGAAGGGUUGAGACAAGUAGGUGUCGUCAACCUGUAGGGCUGUAACAAUGAUUUUGGUUUGGUUUUGGAAGUUAUAGUCGGAAGCCUAUAACUUUGGUUUCGCCCGGUCUAGCUGAGUUUUUUCUUGGAAUGCUGAACAUCGGUCCUGGCGGUUGGUUUUUUGGCUUUCUCAGCACAACAAGCUUUAUUGCAAGUUGCACUGAGAAGGCCAACGGUUGGUUUACUGUUUUGGAAAUUAGCGGAGGUUUUUUUCUAUAUGCAGCGCAGUUGGCCGCAUAGUUUUUUCACCCUCCGAGGGUUGACGCGGGUUCGAGAUUUUUUUUUUAAUAUUUUUUUUUGUGGUCAAACAGUAGUUUGCUUGUUUUUAAAUACCUUUUGGUAUAAUUUUGUAGAUAUUGGGGGAUUUUUUUUUUGAGAUUUUACAGUCUCGAACUUGCGUCAGGUUUUUUUGAUUCUGAUAUUUUUUUGGUAGGUUUAGUUUCCUUGCCUUCAGAUUUUGUUUUUUUUUAUGAAAGUCGCUGAGGACAGCGAGCGGUUCACCUACGUUGAACCUUAAAUCGGGAAGGGGGGUAUUGUAACGUAGCAGAUUUUUUGAUAGUCGUAAUUAAAUAUUUUGGAUAGAUUUAAUUUUUGAAUGAAACACUUCCUUCUCGUUCAUUGCAUUAUCUGUUGCACUUCAAAUGCACAUAUUUAUGUUUAUCUGUUGUAGGGUUGCCAUACAACAAGUAUUAUUCGAAAUUGUAGGUAUUUUGGCUGUCAUUCCAGGAAAACUUUGUAUAGUUUUGAUAUACUUUAAGUAUUGAUUUUUGGAAAAUAUAAUAUUUUAGAGACAUGAUAACAAAUGUUAUCAUAGGUUUUUUAAGGCUGUUCUGGAAUGAUAUUUGUUAGGUUUUGUUUACUUCAAGGUCUGAUACAGAAACUGGAGUAAUUUUCAUUUAAUGAAUUAGAGUAUUUUAUUGUUUAUUCGUUUGCCACCCGGCUUUUGUUUUGGGUCCUUUAAAUUCGAGAUCAUUCAGUGCGCCGUUCUUUCUGUGACGAGAUCCUCUUGUAUAGUGAUCGGACGGCCGUAUAAGGGCCUGGAGCCCGGCAUGCCACGUGCUGCCGUGGCGUUCCAUAUUUUGUGUGGUGCGUUCUGUCAGUCUGACUGGCAGAAACAUGCUAAGGGUGGGAGUGCUCCUUGGAGAUCCUCGGUCUGCAGUCUGCAGGUCUCCGGAGUCGGGAAGAAGUAAAGAAUUAGAGAAUUGCAGAAGUAGAUAAUUAAACAAGAACCUUUACAAUUUCGAUGUGCAAGGAAACUUCUUUGGCUUACUGGCGCAAGGUGUCUUUGGACCUUGUUUUCGUAUGGAAGGGUCAGCCCUGUCCACGUGGCGAGGGGGCGUCAGCACCGGAGUCCGGGGAGCAGCCGGCUCAUCCCUGACAAGGUGUGUCUCCUGCCCGUUUCCUGCCGGUAAUGCUGUGUAAUUCAGGUUUUUAAUUUCUGUGUAAAGUAAUUUCUGAUUUCAUUUAUUUUGAGAAUUCUGGUGCAUAACUUUAGGUAAAUUCAUAUUUAGUUUUUGUAGAAUAAAUGGUUGUA